rnacentral:rRNA from 1 species
AAGCUGGGUCUAAUACCGGAUAGGAGCGUCCACCGCAUGGUGGGUGUUGGAAAGAUUUAUSGGUUUUGGAUGGACUCGCGGCCUAUCAGCUUGUUGGUGAGGUAAUGGCUCACCAAGGCGACGACGGGUAGCCGGCCUGAGAGGGUGACCGGCCACACUGGGACUGAGACACGGCCCAGACUCCUACGGGAGGCAGCAGUGGGGAAUAUUGCACAAUGGGCGMAAGCCUGAUGCAGCGACGCCGCGUGAGGGAUGACGGCCUUCGGGUUGUAAACCUCUUUCAGUAGGGAAGAAGCGAAAGUGACGGUACCUGCAGAAGAAGCACCGGCUAACUACGUGCCAGCAGCCGCGGUAAUACGUAGGGUGCGAGCGUUAUCCGGAAUUAUUGGGCGUAAAGAGCUCGUAGGCGGUUUGUCGCGUCUGUCGUGAAAGUCCGGGGCUUAACCCCGGAUCUGCGGUGGGUACGGGCAGACUAGAGUGCAGUAGGGGAGACUGGAAUUCCUGGUGUAGCGGUGGAAUGCGCAGAUAUCAGGAGGAACACCGAUGGCGAAGGCAGGUCUCUGGGCUGUAACUGACGCUGAGGAGCGAAAGCAUGGGGAGCGAACAGGAUUAGAUACCCUGGUAGUCCAUGCCGUAAACGUUGGGCACUAGGUGUGGGGACCAUUCCACGGUUUCCGCGCCGCAGCUAACGCAUUAAGUGCCCCGCCU